rnacentral:lncRNA from 1 species
GGUGCAUGAAGGAUGUCAUCCCUGUUCCGUGGCCCAGACAUGCCUCACCUCACGCAGCCCUGUGCUCCGGGAAGGUGGGUCUGGUCCCGUGGCCCUAGCUGGCACUCCUCUGUCCCCUCCCAUCUUGGGGUUUAAUCGCCUCCAACUGUCCAGGUCCAGCUGAGGAGCCGCCUCUCCCAGGGCCAUUCCUGAUCCCCAGGGACCACUCCCCUCUGACCUCCCUGAGCACACAUCUUUGUUGGAGGCAUUUGUCACCCUGUCAUCUGGAGACAGUGACUUCCUCUCAUGAGAAGGGGAGCUCCUCGAGGGCAAGGCCUCUCUGUCCAUGCGCCCCGGGAGCUGUCUCACGCUGGACCCAGCACGCGGUGGGGGCUUGGAAGUCCUCCCUGACCACCCACCAAACCAGGUAAGCAGCAAGUUACUUCUCCCCUCAAACUCAAAGCUGUCUCCGGCUUUCCAAGCCCCAGUUUCCUUGGGUCCCUCAUGGCCAAGAAGCACAACAUGAGAUGUUCCCCAUCGUGCCCCAACACUCGUGUGGACAGUCCAGGGUUGAGCUGACCUCUGCUGAACUGUGCGCGCUGGGGCAGGUGCUGCGCCUGAGCUGUGCGUGCCGGGGCAGGUGCUGGGUCUCCCGAAGCCUUGGGUUCCUGCCGUGUCUGAAGCUCACGAUGCUGGGUCUUGGGCUUCCUUGCCAAAUUGGACAGAAAAUCUGUCCUAAUUAUUGGGAAUAAUAAGGCCCUUGGAAUCUCUUUGCUGUGGAACUUGAAAGACCAUCCCCCCCCACCCCCGCACCCAUUGCCACGAGGGUGAUGGUCACUUUAUGUGUCCACUCGGCUGCACCACGGUGCCCAGCUGUUGGCCACA